AAAUUGAAGAGUUUGAUCAUGGCUCAGAUUGAACGCUGGCGGCAGGCCUAACACAUGCAAGUCGAACGGUAACAGGAAACAGCUUGCUGUUUCGCUGACGAGUGGCGGACGGGUGAGUAAUGUCUGGGAAACUGCCUGAUGGAGGGGGAUAACUACUGGAAACGGUAGCUAAUACCGCAUAAUGUCGCAAGACCAAAGAGGGGGACCUUCGGGCCUCUUGCCAUCGGAUGUGCCCAGAUGGGAUUAGCUAGUAGGUGGGGUAACGGCUCACCUAGGCGACGAUCCCUAGCUGGUCUGAGAGGAUGACCAGCCACACUGGAACUGAGACACGGUCCAGACUCCUACGGGAGGCAGCAGUGGGGAAUAUUGCACAAUGGGCG
rnacentral:rRNA from 1 species